AUUGUCUCGUUGCCGGCAUUCCAGCAUUAACUAUUCAAAGUUAUUAUUUUUAACUAUUUUAUUUACUACUGUGUCAUUGAUUGGAGCAAUAUUAAAAUUAAGAACAAAUUUCAGUAAUGGAUAUACACCUGUGAACAAACAAAUUCAGUUUAUGAACUGCUAAGAUGGAGAAUAGUUCUCCUUACUCUAUACCAACAGACAUCCUGGCAGUGAGAUACAUUAUUUUUUUUUCCACUUAAACAAACUUUCUAUUCAGCAACAAUUUAUACACUGUUUUGAUCAGACACUUCUUCUUCUAAAUGAAUGAAUAACUCAGACUCUAUUUCCACUUAAAUUCUUCUCUAGAAGGAGUGUUCCCAAAAAUACCAGACAGAUCAGAGAACAUGGGAGAUUGCUGAUCAGGUCUUCUGGGGACAAAUCAGAUUCACUGGAUAUGAAUUACAUAGAUGGGAUGACUCACAGUCUGGAGUUUCCAUCUCUCACCCAGAGAACUGAGGUGACGGCUUAGAAUAAACCUGUAAACCCCAGAGGCCUACAGGUUUAUCACCAUAUUUGUCAUUUUCAAGUCUUCGGGUGUUAAGAAUUAGAUGAGAUACACAGUGCCUCUCUAACUGUACUAUUUCUUCUUUGAGUAUGGUUGGACUUGUGGGUGAAUAACAUCCAAUCUUGGCUAUUUAUGUCUUAUAUUAUGUCUUAUGUUUACCAUGAUCACCUUCUACUGGUACUUUUGCUUCAAUUUCAGGUAGAUCUGUGAAUCCACAAUUCCUUGUCCUCCAAACACUCAUAGCAUGGAAAUCUCCCCAGGUUUUUCUACACUGAACAUCAAGGCAAAAACUAUUUCUGUCCUCUGAAAUAGUGUCCUCUCUGAAUCUUAUACCAUCAUUGUCCAUGGUUUCAAAGAUUAUCUCAGGGCCUUUUUGCUGUUGUUGGUUUUGAUGGUUUAGAUUGCAUUAGAUUACAUUAGUUUUCAUUAAAUCCUGUACUUACCUAAGGAAAAAGUCACCCAGAAGUAGUCUACUCAUGGAAAUUAGUUACAAUUUGAAAGUUGGAAUCUGAGAGUAAUUCCUUGUCAUAAUACAAAGAACAAUUUAUUGACUAAGAAAAUAAAACUCUCUUUCUCAAAUUUCUAGAAGGAAAU
rnacentral:lncRNA from 1 species